ACUCCUACGGGAGGCAGCAGUAGGGAAUCUUCCACAAUGGACGAAAGUCUGAUGGAGCAACGCCGCGUGAGUGAAGAAGGGUUUCGGCUCGUAAAACUCUGUUGUUAAAGAAGAACAUAUCUGAGAGUAACUGUUCAGGUAUUGACGGUAUUUAACCAGAAAGCCACGGCUAACUACGUGCCAGCAGCCGCGGUAAUGCGUAGGUGGCAAGCGUUGUCCGGAUUUAUUGGGGCGUAAAGCGAGCGCAGGCGGUUUUUAAGUCUGAUGUGAAAGCCUUCGGCUCAACCGAAGAAGUGCAUCGGAAACUGGGAAACUUGAGUGCAGAAGAGGACAGUGGAACUCCAUGUGUAGCGGUGAAAUGCGUAGAUAUAUGGAAGAACACCAGUGGCGAAGGCGGCUGUCUGGUCUGUAACUGACGCUGAGGCUCGAAAGUAUGGGUAGCAAACAGGAUUAGAUACCCUGGUAGGAUAGCG
rnacentral:rRNA from 1 species